rnacentral:rRNA from 1 species
GACGUAGGGCGCGAGCGUUGUCCGGAUUUAUUGGGCGUAAAGAGCUCGUAGGCGGCUCAUCGCGUCUGCCGUGAAAACCUGUGGCUCAACUACAGGCUUGCGGUUGAUACGGGUGGGCUGGAGUUCGGUAGGGGAGACUGGAAUUCCUGGUGUAGCGGUGAAAUGCGUAGAUAUCUGGAGGAAUACCGGUGGCGAAGGCGGCAUCCUGGACCGGCAUUGACGCUGAGGAGCGAAAGCCAGGGGAGCAAACGGG